CGGAGAACUCCAUGGUGCUGGCAGGAGGCAGGGGCUGCGGCCGGGGGCGGCCGGCGGGCGGAGGGAGCGGCGGCCGAGGCGGCGGCGGCGGCGCUGGCUCCUGCCACCCGGCAGCGGGGAGCACCAGGACCAAGGUCUGUGUCAGAAGCUGAUACAGAGAGAACAAUGCGGCACUGCGUCUGCCCUCAUGGAGCCUCAUCUUUAGCACCUUGGAUGACAUGGAAGUCCAGACUGGACAGGCUUCAGACACCAUAUUUGCUUCCAUCUCAGCUGGCUCCUCAUCACGAUCAUAAGAUCAAUGCCUCUGUUCCAAGAAUCACAUGAAAAAAACUCCAUUGUAAGAAGAACGACCAUUGUUCUUGUUUUGAUACCAAGGAGACUCCUUAAUAAACAUUCUGCUGGCUAAAUUCCACCUCAGAGUCUACCUCCUAGGAAACCCAACCCAUGACAACGAUUGAAUAACACCUUUAAGUACUGAAAUAAGUAAAGCUGUCAACCCAGCUUCUAUAUGCUACAAAAUUAUCUUUCAAAAAUGAAGAAAAAUAAAGAUGUUUUCAGAUGGACUAAAGCUAAGAAUUGGUGUGUUGUGCUGUAAGAAAUACUUAGGGGAAUUCUUCAAGUGGGAGAUGAAUGACACCAGAUGAUAACUUGGAUUCAAUGGAAGGAAUAAAGAGCACAGGAAAUGGUCCUGGAAUGAACCUUGAGUGAGUAUAAGCCUAGCCAUUUUGAGAAAGUCGUCAUUUCAUUAUCAAAAGUGGGUUUG